rnacentral:tRNA from 1 species
GGGAGAUGGCUCAGGGGUUGAGAGUACUGGCUGCUCUUCCAGAAGACCUGGGUUCAAUUCCCAGCACCCA